UACGUAGGCAGCAACCGUUGUUCGGAAUUACUGGGCGUAAAGAGUGUGUAGGUGGUGUCGUAAGUUUGGUGUGAAAUCUCCCGGCUUAACUGGGAGGGUGCGCCGAAGACUGCGAUGCUGGAGUAUGGGAGAGGAAAGCGGAAUUCCUGGUGUAGCGGUGAAAUGCGUAGAUAUCAGGAGGAACACCUGCGGUGUAGACGGCUUUCUGGACCAUUACUGACACUGAGACACGAAAGCGUGGGUAGCAAACAGG
rnacentral:rRNA from 1 species